CCCGGCGAUAAAUCGCCGGUCUAUUCUCAUUCGUCCCUGCGGGACU
rfam:Desulfobacteraceae bacterium IS3 Ga0073107_11459, whole genome shotgun sequence.